rnacentral:tRNA from 1 species
UUCAAAUAGCUUAUAUAGAGCGUGGCAUUGAAGAUGCUAAAGAAAUAAAUAUAUUUUUGAAUAU